rnacentral:rRNA from 1 species
AGUGAACGCUGGCGGUAGGCCUAACACAUGCAAGUCGAACGGCAGCACAGUAAGAGCUUGCUCUUACGGGUGGCGAGUGGCGGACGGGUGAGGAAUACAUCGGAAUCUACUUUUUCGUGGGGGAUAACGUAGGGAAACUUACGCUAAUACCGCAUACGACCUACGGGUGAAAGCAGGGGAUCUUCGGACCUUGCGCGAUUGAAUGAGCCGAUGUCGGAUUAGCUAGUUGGCGGGGUAAAGGCCCACCAAGGCGACGAUCCGUAGCUGGUCUGAGAGGAUGAUCGGCCACACUGGAACUGAGACACGGUCCAGACUCCUACGGGAGGCAGCAGUGGGGAAUAUUGGACAAUGGGCGCAAGCCUGACCCAGCAAUACCGCGUGGGUGAAGAAGGCCUUCGGGUUGUAAAGCCCUUUUGCUGGGAAAGAAAAGCAGCAGGUUAAUACCCCGCUGUUCUGACGGUACCCAAAGAAUAAGCACCGGCUAACUUCGUG